rnacentral:lncRNA from 1 species
CCUAGAACUUAAAUGUAUUCCCGCAUUAUACUGGUGGGCGACCUAGAACUUAAAUGUAUUCCCGCAUUAUACUGGUGGGCGACCUAGAACUUAAAUGUAUUCCCGCAUUAUACUGGUGGGCGACCUAGAACUUAAAAGUAUUCCCGCAUUAUACUGGUGGGCGACCUAGAACUUAAAUGUAUUCCCGCAUUAUACUGGUGGGCGACCUAGAACUUAAAUGUAUUCCCGUAUUAUACUGGUGGGCGACCUAGAACUUAAAUGUAUUCCCGCAUUAUACUGGUGGGCGACCUAGAACUUAAAUGUAUUGAAUUGCUUCCCCGUUCUUCCGAGAAAAUUUUUCGACAAUCGGCAGAAAAUUUUCUGCCCCGGUUUUGGUGACUUCCCUGGCGUUGCGUAUUGCUGCCAUUAU